CUUGACGGAACCGAGCCACAGCGGCCGGUCCUCGGUGCGUCCCUGCCCGUACGUGGCGAUGAGCGCCUGCGCCUC
rnacentral:antisense_RNA from 2 species